AAACAAAACUUAUAUAUAAUCUAUUAAUUUCUCUUUUAAAAUCAUUUUCCCUAAUAGUUACUUUGAUUAAUCUAAUCGUUUCCGAAAUCGCUUCUCACUUAUCGCGCCUCUCACAGUCUCACUUUCAUUUAUAAAACGCUUCUCAUUUCUGCACAUUCUUGUUCGAGAGCUUCUCACUUCCAAGUUUCUUCUUCGAGCAUAAUCUUGACGCCAAUCAAACAAUGUGACCUUCAACUACUGAACGUGGAUACCGUCGUAGUUCAAAAGGAAUUUACUAGGAGCAGCAAUCCAGUGACUUGUCCUUGUUGUGAGAAGUGGAGUUCCUAACUUUUGUGCUGUUGCAUUAGCUCUCAGUGAUUUAGGAUACAAAGCAGUUGGCAUUAGACUGGACUCGGGUGACCUUGCAUACUUGUCUUGUGAGUCAAGGAAGUUCUUUUGUUCCAUUGAGAAGGAAUUUGAAAUGCCCGAUUUCAGGAAUAUGAGUAUCACUGCUAGUAACGACCUUAACGAGGAUUUGCUUCAGCAAUUAUAAGUGAGAAAGAUAUCAGGGCAGAGUUUGUGUACAAAAUGAAACACGGGCAUGAAGUGUAUGCGAGCAACUCUCACAAGCGACAUGUGAUAAAGGUUAGAACCACGAUACAGUUUUUGGUCAACAGGUGACAUACUCUUAAAUUGACU